rnacentral:lncRNA from 1 species
UUUCUGGCUCUGUGCCAUUCUCUCUCAACGCUCCAUUCCCUCUUUCCUACUAUCUACUGAGUCCCACCCAUCUAUUGCUUUAUUUCUUCUCCACCAUCCCUCUCUUAGUCUCUGUUAGGAAAACUAAAAGGACAGAAAACAGGAAUGAACAUUAGGGUAGAUUUAAGAAUUUCUUUGGGCAAGGAUUCCAGCACUCUAGUCUGGUUGAUAGGUGUUUUCAGAAGCAGAAUUUAUUCCAAAUACAUACAUGCAUCUUCUCCUCUCUACCUAACAUGGAACAGUUUAAUAAAAAGUAAUAGAUGCUUUCUCAGUAAGAUUUUGCUUGGGGAUUCAAAAAAAUUGGGUAGGAAAUGGUAGACAUAUUUCACUACAUUAAAAAAAUUUUCCGGCCGGGCGCAGUGGCUCACGCCUGUAAUCCCAACACUUUGGGAGGCCAAGGCAGGGGGAUCACGAGACCAGGAGAUCGAGACUAUCCUGGCUAACACAGAUAAACCCCAUCUCUACUAAAAACACAAAAAUUAGCCGGGCGUGGCGGCGUGUGCCUGUAGUCCCAGCUGCUGGGGAGGCUGAGGCAGGAGAAUGGCGUGAACCCAGGCGGCGGAGCUUGCAGUGAGCUGAGAUUGUCCCACUGCCCUCCAGCCUGGGCAACAGAGCGAGACUCCAUCUACAAAAAAAAAAAAAAAAUUUACCAGCCAGGUAUGGUGGCUCAUGCCCAUAAUCCCAGCACUUUGGGAGGCCGAGGUGGGCGGAUCACCUGAGGUCAGGAGUUCGAGACCAGCCUGGACAACAUGGUGAAACCCCGUCUCUACUAAAAAUACAAAAAUUAGCUGGGCGUGGUGGCAGGUGCCUGUAGUCCCAGCUUCUGGGGAGGCUGAGGCAGGAGAAUCACUUGAACCCAGGAGGCGGAGGUUGCAGUGAGCCUAGACUGCACCAUUGCACUCCAGUCUGGGGGACAAGAGCGAGACUUCCUCUUAAAAAAAAGAAAAAAAAAUUCCUUACUUCUCCUGGACUUUCAAAAAAGUUUUUAUUGUAGUAAAACACAAAAUUUACCAUCG